rnacentral:lncRNA from 1 species
AGUAUUUUUACUGUAAAAAUAACAACAAAAUGCUAUUUAUCAUUAAUAAAUAAACGAAAAAUAAUCAAACAGAUAAAUAAGAAAAUAAAAUGAAUUCAGUCAAACAUUCAUAAAAAUAACAUUGAGUAAAUUUGGCAGUGAUGCUCAGAAACUUAAUUAAAACAAACUUUAUGUUUUAUUCGUUUUUGAAUUUUGACAAAUUUUAAUACUUUUUUUAAUGAUUAUUUCCAGAAACCCUUAAAAAGAAUGAACCUGGAGAACAUGUUCAGACAAAUAUUGAUCAGGUAUUGAUACACCGUAGAAACGAGGCUCCCCAACAACCUCAUUGCUGCUCAUUAAUGUCACUUAAAGAGAAACAACAUUUACUUUGAUGUAAUCCAUAAACUUUCGCUCAGCUUUCAUACGGCGUGAUGAACGCUUUGUUUUGAUGCUCAAACGGUGAGUUAAUCAUUGCCUCUUUGGGACGUCAGUUUCCCUCUCACACACACAAACAAGAGUAGACUUUGUAUUUCAGCUCAGGACCGCAUGCUGACCCCCCCCCGCACCCCAGCUGAUCCAGACUCUGCAGAAACCACGGAGCUCGCUCACUUCCGUCCCAGGAGGACGAGCGAUCGUUUCAAACACCUACGACUGAACGAAAAGGAAAUGGAUUUCAGCUCCUCCCUUCAAAAUCGAUUUUUCAGGAACCUGGACGCUGACGAGCGCAGAGAAGAUCCAGUCACAGACGCUGGAACGAGUGCAAACAUUAUUGGUGGAAGUAAAGAUGGAGGCGGGGUUUACCACAUUUCGUUCAAUCACAAAUGUUUGAUGCUUACGCUGAUCUUUGAGGUCUGAAGUUUCUGUGAUAAUGUGGACAUAAAAUUAUAGGUUUAGGUUUUUAAGACAUGAUCAAUUACAUCAGUUUAUUUUAUAAAAUAAUAGCUUUAUUCAUAUUAUGGUGCACCUGAAACUCCCAAUGCUCCUGUUAGAUGUUUCAUUUAUUAAAAAUUUAUUAAAUUUAACUUUUUUUUAUGAGCGAAGUCUUUAUUUAAUCUAUAAUACUAAUUUCACAGCAGAAAUUACAGUCAGUCUCAUAAAAACUAAACUUGAUCAGUUUAUACAUUUAGUUUUUUAAGUGAAUCUUUAUUUAGAUU